UUUCCCAGUCCCUGCUGGUUUCUCUGUGUGAAUAUUCACUCUAGCUCCUAUUGCCUGGCAGACUUACUCAUUAUAUCCUCAAUGGAAAUUCCAGAGAGGGACAACUGGAUUAGUCCAGUGACUCAUGGAGGAGCAUCUGCUUUUGAUGAAGUGCUUUCUCUUCAGUCGGGCCAAUCACGAUUGGGAGGCAGCGUCUUGAACGGUGGAAUAUGAGUAAGAACUUCUACAGAAGAGGCCAGGGCUUCCCAGAAGGGGGCUAUUCAGUAACAGUAAUUAUCAGCAACCUCUAUUUAGCACUUGAGCACAUAUCUAAAUAUUUUACAUAUGUGAAAAUUCAUUUAAUUUUCAUAACAUGCAUAAUUUAAUUGUUUUCAUUUAUUUGACAAAUAUAUACAGCGUUGCUCUGUAGCAGGCACUGGUCUUAGUACCUUACAGAUGUUGACUCCGUUGAUAAAAACUUACGAGUUAAGGAAAGACACUACCAUUCAAAUAGACAAGCUACAUAAGACAGACUACGUAUACACUGGAAUCAGAGUCUCCAAUCAGAAAGGGAUUUUGUGUCUCUUUUCCUGUUAAGAACCUGGUUUAGACAGCUCUGCUACCUAUAAACAUUUGCUCUAAUCAAUUAGAGAAGGAGAGCCUAAGAAAUGGUCAUGCAAAAUAUUCGGACAAUGUCACAUGAUGCCUGAAGACUGCUCUCAUUUUAACUGGGAUAAAGAGGACAUUUCUCCAUUCAAGAGCUGCUUCUGAUUGUUCUAUGUUUCUGAUGCAUUUUUACUAACGCAAUACAUAGGGUAAUAAGAUACUCAUGUUACAGACACAUUAUGUAAUAGUCUGUAUCGUUUAUAUCCUUAUUUGUUUUCAGGAAAAUCAAGUUUUAUUUUUACUUCUGUGAAACAAUGUCAUUUCAACUUAUUUAUACAUAUUCCUUUAUCAGGAAAUAAUUUUAUCCUGGAUAUCCCUUUAAUGUCUUGCAAAAUGUCUCCCCAUUCUUUUUCAUCUCUUAAUAUAUUUUUCCCACC
rnacentral:lncRNA from 1 species